rfam:Grosmannia clavigera kw1407 unplaced genomic scaffold GCSC_113, whole genome shotgun sequence.
GGGUGCAUGGUCUAGGGGUAUGAUUUUCCCUUCGCAUGGGAAAGGUCUCCGGUUCGAAUCCGGAUGUAUCCA